GACGAACGCUGGCGGCGUGCUUAACACAUGCAAGUCGAACGGAAAGGCCCUGCUUUUGUGGGGUGCUCGAGUGGCGAACGGGUGAGUAACACGUGAGUAACCUGCCCUUGACUUUGGGAUAACUUCAGGAAACUGGGGCUAAUACCGGAUAGGAGCUCCUGCUGCAUGGUGGGGGUUGGAAAGUUUCGGCGGUUGGGGAUGGACUCGCGGCUUAUCAGCUUGUUGGUGGGGUAGUGGCUUACCAAGGCUUUGACGGGUAGCCGGCCUGAGAGGGUGACCGGCCACAGGGGGACUGAGACACGGCCCAGACUCCUACGGGAGGAAGCGGUGGGAAAUAUUGCACAAUGGGCGGAAGCCUGAUGCAGCAACGCCGCGUGCGGGAUGACGGCCUUCGGGUUGUAAACCGCUUUCGCCUGUGACGAAGCGUGAGUGACGGUAAUGGGUAAAGAAGCACCGGCUAACUACG
rnacentral:rRNA from 1 species